AAUUCUAAUUUCCCACCCUACUUAACAUUAUUUUGGAAAAAAUGAAACCUAACCCCAAACCCAGAUCUCUCCCUUCAUCUCUCAUCUUGUUUCCUCUUCUUCUCUUCAUCCCCACUCAUUGAUGAAAAGGCCGAUGCCAAUAAUCCGGUCAUCAGGUGAGCCCAUCAUCGGAUCUAAGGAAGAACAUGCAGCUGGUGUUGAAGAAGUGUGAGCCCAUUUUUGAAUUACUUGGAAAAUGAAGUGAGCCAAGGAGGAGGACGGCGAGGAAUUUGAUGAGGAAUUGGAGGAGUCUGAUGAUGAUGAGGUGGCGGAAAAUGAAGAAGAAGAAGAUGAAGAUGAGGACGAGGAGGAGGAAGAAGAAGGAAAUGUAGAAGAAGAAGAAGGUGGAGGCAAGAACGAAAUCGAGGAUGGUUUCUUUAAUAGAAAGGCUACGGAAGCAGGGGAAUAUGGGAAUGACAAGGAGGAUGAAGAGGAUGAAGAAGAAGAUGGUGAAGAUGAGGAGGAAGAGGAUGAUGCCCAGGAGCUCAUGAAUGUAGGGGAAGGUGAGGACGACGGGGAUGGCAUGGAUGCAAGAAUCCAUGGAAACUAUCUAGCAGAGAUGCCGUUUAUUGGAACCCGCUAUAUGUAUAGGCGUCAAGGAAUGUGCUGCCGGCUUCUAAGUGCGAUUGAAUCUGUAAUGUUCAUCUCAAAUAUAGCAUCUUGCUUGUCUUUACAUGUGCUUUAACCUAUGACUUAACUUCCAACUUUCUUUUCUUUUUAUUUCGGGAGUUGAAAACGUUUUUGCAAGUUGCUGCCUCUUGAUUUCACGGAUCAAAAUAUGGUUAAGAUUUUCUGGUUUCAUUUCAUUAUGUCUACUCCUCAGUAUCUGAAAUUAUAUUUUUCCCUUUUUUUCAUUUGAGAACUUGUCAUACUAUAAAGUGUUCAAUCAAUAUUUUCAAUCAAUAAAAGAUUGAUAUCUUUCUGCUAGACAUAAGAUACAUUUAAGAUAUCUUUCUGAUAUCCCGUAUAAUCAGUUUAAGGAAAAACAACAGUACAGGAAUAAAACUAUAUAAUUAUGCUACAUUUACUUGUUCAAGAUAGAGUAUUAAAGUUGCAUAACAUUUGGUUCCUUUAUUUUGGAUUCUGGUGCUUUGUGUACUUGGUGUACAAGCAGGUGUACCGUAACCGUAAUGAUGAGUCGUGGCCAUUGGGCCUGUGACUCCAACCGUGGAUGAGUGCUAGCAUAAUCUCAUAUCAUAUAGGUGCAUGUAGAACUUAUAGAUAGAGGAACACGAGUCUCUCUAUCUAUUGUCAAUUAAUUUUGAAUGAAAAUAAAGUUGUAAUGUUUACACAUACGUCAUCAUUCAUCACCAUUGUGCACUACCAUUCAUAUUCUGUGCUGUAAAUAGGAUGACAGAUGUGAUUGUGGUAGGAGCAAAUUUAAACCAACCUUCAAUAAUACCAAACUAUAAUAGAAGCUAGCUAAAUAUCUACCAAGACAUUGAAUCAUGGAGCUUAUAUAGGCAGAUAACAGUUAGCAUAUAAAUGCAAAUUUAUUUGAUUUAGAGCACAUUUCUGGUUAUUCGCGGAAGGUAUUAGGCAAUGAGCAAGUUCCGUGACUUGGUCUUCAAUGUAAGUAAACAAUUAUUGUGGGAGAUAUAUAUUCUUCAAACUAGGCAGACCUGUACUAUUAUCUUCUUGUCUUUGUAACUGGGACAAAACCUUUUUAUUUUUCUUGUAAUUAAAUUAUAUUGUUCAAUCAAUAAAAGAUUGAUAUCUUUCUGCUAGACAUAAGAUAGCAUUGCUAUACAUUUCUCUCUUCCUAAUUGUAUUGGUAUUAUUCCUCAUAUACUAUCACUUGAAAGUUGGGAAUGGAACUAAGCUGCGAGUAAAUAUUCAGAUUACAGAACACUUGGAGAUGCUCACUUGCAAACACAAAUUACAUAUAUGUAGUUGCUCACUUUAAGUUUUAUAAUCUGUCAUUUGAACAACUGAUCUAAGCAUUUGAAUUGGAAGACUAAUGUAUGCAUUUUGUAAAUGUUUCAAUGUCCGUAUAGCUGCUGAUCAGCUGAAACCAUUGUGUUGAUGAUCGAACAUAAUAGGGAGAUCAGAUUUUAGAUCACCAAGCAACUUGCAGCACACGGACAACUCUUUUAAAGAAGAAUCAGAUAGUAGUGUAGUGCCUUAAAGUUAUAGGAGGAACAAUAUAGAGCUAGAGGCUCUGGAAACAAUUUUGGAGGCAGGAAACUCUCUUAUAUUUUGCAUUACUAUUUGAUACACUAUACUGAUUAAUGUGAUAUAUGAUGUUUCUCAUUUUGAUCAAGAAUCAAUUCACUUCAGUUAUAACUUUCAUUAUUGCAAAUUGUCAGCAACAAUAAAUCCAGUGGCAAAGCGCGGGGUACCAUUGCUAGUGUAUACUAGGAAUGUAAAGAACAUCUUGCUAUGAAUGUAAAGUUUAUUCAUGUUCGAUUGA